UGGGGAAUAUUGCACAAUGGGCGAAAGCCUGAUGCAGCGACGCCGCGUGCGGGAUGAAGGCCUUCGGGUUGUAAACCGCUUUUGAUUGGGAGCAAGCGAGAGUGAGUGUACCUUUCGAAUAAGCACCGGCUAACUACGUGCCAGCAGCCGCGGUAAUACGUAGGGUGCAAGCGUUAUCCGGAAUUAUUGGGCGUAAAGAGCUCGUAGGCGGUUUGUCGCGUCUGGUGUGAAAGUCCAUCGCUUAACGGUGGAUCUGCGCCGGGUACGGGCAGGCUAGAGUGCGACAGGGGAGACUGGAAUUCCCGGUGUAACGGUGGAAUGUGUAGAUAUCGGGAAGAACACCAAUGGCGAAGGCAGGUCUCUGGGUCGUCACUGACGCUGAGGAACGAAAGCGUGGGGAGCGAACAGGAUUAGAUACCCUGGUAGUCCACGCCGUAAACGGUGGAUGCUGGAUGUGGGGCCCAUUCCACGGGUUCCGUGUCGGAGCUAACGCGUUAAGCAUCCCGCCUGGGGAGUACGGCCGCAAGGCUAAAAC
rnacentral:rRNA from 1 species